rnacentral:rRNA from 1 species
CAGAAGUGCGAAUGCUGACAUAAGUAACGAUAAAGCGGGUGAAAAGCCCGCUCGCCGGAAGACCAAGGGUUCCUGUCCAACGUUAAUCGGGGCAGGGUGAGUCGACCCCUAAGGCGAGGCCGAAAGGCGUAGUCGAUGGGAAACAGGUUAAUAUUCCUGUACUUGGUGUUACUGCGAAGGGGGGACGGAGAAGGCUAUGUUGGCCGGGCGACGGUUGUCCCGGUUUAAGCGUGUAGGCUGGUUUUCCAGGCAAAUCCGGAAAAUCAAGGCUGAGGCGUGACGACGAGGCACUACGGUGCUGAAGCAACAAAUGCCCUGCUUCCAGGAAAAGCCUCUAAGCAUCAGGUAACAUCAAAUCGUACCCCAAACCGACACAGGUGGUCAGGUAGAGAAUACCAAGGCGCUUGAGAGAACUCGGGUGAAGGAACUAGGCAAAAUGGUGCCGUAACUUCGGGAGAAGGCACGCUGACACGUAGGUGAAGUGAUUUACUCAUGGAGCUGAAGUCAGUCGAAGAUACCAGCUGGCUGCAACUGUUUAUUAAAAACACAGCACUGUGCAAACACGAAAGUGGACGUAUACGGUGUGACGCCUGCCCGGUGCCGGAAGGUUAAUUGAUGGGGUCAGCGCAAGCGAAGCUCCUGAUCGAAGCCCCGGUAAACGGCGGCCGUAACUAUAACGGUCCUAAGGUAGCGAAAUUCCUUGUCGGGUAAGUUCCGACCUGCACGAAUGGCGUAAUGAUGGCCAGGCUGUCUCCACCCGAGACUCAGUGAAAUUGAACUCGCUGUGAAGAUGCAGUGUACCCGCGGCAAGACGGAAAGACCCCGUGAACCUUUACUAUAGCUUGACACUGAACAUUGAGCCUUGAUGUGUAGGAUAGGUGGGAGGCUUUGAAGCGUGGACGCCAGUCUGCGUGGAGCCGACCUUGAAAUACCACCCUUUAAUGUUUGAUGUUCUAACGUGGACCCGUAAUCCGGGUUGCGGACAGUGUCUGGUGGGUAGUUUGACUGGGGCGGUCUCCUCCUAAAGAGUAACGGAGGAGCACGAAGGUUGGCUAAUCCUGGUCGGACAUCAGGAGGUUAGUGCAAUGGCAUAAGCCAGCUUGACUGCGAGCGUGACGGCGCGAGCAGGUGCGAAAGCAGGUCAUAGUGAUCCGGUGGUUCUGAAUGGAAGGGCCAUCGCUCAACGGAUAAAAGGUACUCCGGGGAUAACAGGCUGAUACCGCCCAAGAGUUCAUAUCGACGGCGGUGUUUGGCACCUCGAUGUCGGCUCAUCACAUCCUGGGGCUGAAGUAGGUCCCAAGGGUAUGGCUGUUCGCCAUUUAAAGUGGUACGCGAGCUGGGUUUAGAACGUCGUGAGACAGUUCGGUCCCUAUCUGCCGUGGGCGCUGGAGAACUGAGGGGGGCUGCUCCUAGUACGAGAGGACCGGAGUGGACGCAUCACUGGUGUUCGGGUUGUCAUGCCAAUGGCACUGCCCGGUAGCUAAAUGCGGAAGAGAUAAGUGCUGAAAGCAUCUAAGCACGAAACUUGCCCCGA